GACGAACGCUGGCGGCGUGCUUAACACAUGCAAGUCGAACGGAAAGGCCCUGCUUUUGUGGGGUGCUCGAGUGGCGAACGGGUGAGUAACACGUGAGUAACCUGCCCUUGACUUUGGGAUAACUUCAGGAAACUGGGGCUAAUACCGGAUAGGAGCUCCUGCUGCAUGGUGGGGGUUGGAAAGUUUCGGCGGUUGGGGAUGGACUCGCGGCUUAUCAGCUUGUUGGUGUGGUAGUGGCUGACCAAGGCUUGGACGGGUAGCCGGCCUGAGAGGGUGGCCGGCCACAUUGGGAUUGAGAUACGGCCCAGACUCCUCCGGGAGGCAGCAGUGGGGAAUAUUGCACAAUGGGCGGAAGCCUGAUGCAGCAACGCCGCGUGCGGGAUGACGGCCUUCGGGUUGUAAACCGCUUUCGCCUGUGACGAAGCGUGAGUGACGGUAAUGGGUAAAGAAGCACCGGCUAACUACGUG
rnacentral:rRNA from 1 species